AGCGAACGCUGGCGGCAGGCCUAACACAUGCAAGUCGAACGAACUCUUCGGAGUUAGUGGCGGACGGGUGAGCAACACGUGGGAACGUGCCUUUAGGUUCGGAAUAACUCAGGGAAACUUGUGCUAAUACCGAAUGUGCCCUUCGGGGGAAAGAUUUAUCGCCUUUAGAGCGGCCCGCGUCUGAUUAGCUAGUUGGUGAGGUAAAGGCUCACCAAGACGACGAUCAGUAGCUGGCCUGAGAGGAUGACCAGCCACAUUGGGACUGAGACACGGCCCAAACUCCUACGGGAGGCAGCAGUGGGGAAUCUUGCGCAAUGGGCGAAAGCCUGACGCAGCCAUGCCGCGUGGAUGAUGAAGGUCUUAGGAUUGUAAAAUCCUUUCACCGGUGAAGAUAAUGACUGUAGCCGGAGAAGAAGCCCCGGCUAACUUCGUGCCAGCCGCCGCUGUAAAAC
rnacentral:rRNA from 1 species